rnacentral:rRNA from 1 species
UACGGAGGAUGCGAGCGUUAUCCGGAUUUAUUGGGUUUAAAGGGUGCGUAGGCGGGCUUUUAAGUCAGCGGUAAAAAUUCGGGGCUCAACCCCGUCCGGCCGUUGAAACUGGGGGUCUUGAGUGGGCGAGAAGAAGGCGGAAUGCGUGGUGUAGCGGUGAAAUGCAUAGAUAUUACGCAGAACCCCGAUUGCGAAGGCAGCCUUCCGGCGCCCUACUGACGCUGAGGCACGAAAGUGCGGGGAUCGAACAGG